UACAUCUGAAAAACAAAGCCAAAAACAAAACUUUAUAUAAAAGGCAUUUUUCUAAAAUUAAAAUCAAACUCCUCAGUCUCUACUUCAUUGAUAGUAUUGUCGCUUUAAAGUACAAAAUUCAAAAAUAUCAAUUUUUUUUAGAAAGACCAAACAGAAAUUACUGAUACUUUAGGGCUGAUAAUUAUGGAUAACUCGUGGUUCAUCACUUUUAUUGUAGGCUGUAUUGUGGGGUAUUUGAUAGGCAAGCACAAUUAGAAAAAGUUUAUAUUAAGCUUUACAAGUUCCAAACCCACUACUUUCGUUCCAUAAAAUGGAUGUAGAUUGGGUACUCACAUUUAUAGCUGGCUGUUUGGUGGGAUACGUCGUUGCCAAGAAUACCUGAGAAAAGUCAAGACAUCUUUGGGUAGUUCACCUGAAAUCUUAUGCCAUCCUGAAAUUCAAAAUCCCGACUGGACUGGAUUUUGAUUGGAAAGAUAACAUUUGGUAUCAAGCGCUUAAAAACAUUUUCUUACUUCCGAAACCUAAGAAAAAAGCAAAAUGACCCACGUUAUCUCCUUUGCCUUGGGCGUGAUUAUCGGAAUGAUGAGCUGCCGAAAGUGCUAGGCCCAAAGCCCCCAAAAACCAAAUUAUAAAUUACAUCAUUUAUGAGGAACAUUGCAUAUAUUAAAAUGGACAAUAAAUAAAAUUGAAACUUU